rnacentral:rRNA from 36 species
UUAAGCGACUAAGCGUACACGGUGGAUGCCCUGGCAGUCAGAGGCGAUGAAGGACGUGCUAAUCUGCGAUAAGCGUCGGUGAGGUGAUAUGAACCGUUAUAACCGGCGAUUUCCGAAUGGGGAAACCCAGUGUGUUUCGACACACUAUCAUUAACUGAAUCCAUAGGUUAAUGAGGCGAACCGGGGGAACUGAAACAUCUAAGUACCCCGAGGAAAAGAAAUCAACCGAGAUUCCCCCAGUAGCGGCGAGCGAACGGGGAGGAGCCCAGAGCCUGAAUCAGUGUGUGUGUUAGUGGAAGCGUCUGGAAAGGCGCGCGAUACAGGGUGACAGCCCCGUACACAAAAAUGCACAUAUUGUGAGCUCGAUGAGUAGGGCGGGACACGUGGUAUCCUGUCUGAAUAUGGGGGGACCAUCCUCCAAGGCUAAAUACUCCUGACUGACCGAUAGUGAACCAGUACCGUGAGGGAAAGGCGAAAAGAACCCCGGCGAGGGGAGUGAAAAAGAACCUGAAACCGUGUACGUACAAGCAGUGGGAGCCUCUUAAUGGGGUGACUGCGUACCUUUUGUAUAAUGGGUCAGCGACUUAUAUUCUGUAGCAAGGUUAACCGAAUAGGGGAGCCGAAGGGAAACCGAGUCUUAACUGGGCGUUAAGUUGCAGGGUAUAGACCCGAAACCCGGUGAUCUAGCCAUGGGCAGGUUGAAGGUUGGGUAACACUAACUGGAGGACCGAACCGACUAAUGUUGAAAAAUUAGCGGAUGACUUGUGGCUGGGGGUGAAAGGCCAAUCAAACCGGGAGAUAGCUGGUUCUCCCCGAAAGCUAUUUAGGUAGCGCCUCGUGAAUUCAUCUCCGGGGGUAGAGCACUGUUUCGGCAAGGGGGUCAUCCCGACUUACCAACCCGAUGCAAACUGCGAAUACCGGAGAAUGUUAUCACGGGAGACACACGGCGGGUGCUAACGUCCGUCGUGAAGAGGGAAACAACCCAGACCGCCAGCUAAGGUCCCAAAGUCAUGGUUAAGUGGGAAACGAUGUGGGAAGGCCCAGACAGCCAGGAUGUUGGCUUAGAAGCAGCCAUCAUUUAAAGAAAGCGUAAUAGCUCACUGGUCGAGUCGGCCUGCGCGGAAGAUGUAACGGGGCUAAACCAUGCACCGAAGCUGCGGCAGCGACACUAUGUGUUGUUGGGUAGGGGAGCGUUCUGUAAGCCUGUGAAGGUGGCCUGUGAGGGUUGCUGGAGGUAUCAGAAGUGCGAAUGCUGACAUAAGUAACGAUAAAGCGGGUGAAAAGCCCGCUCGCCGGAAGACCAAGGGUUCCUGUCCAACGUUAAUCGGGGCAGGGUGAGUCGACCCCUAAGGCGAGGCCGAAAGGCGUAGUCGAUGGGAAACAGGUUAAUAUUCCUGUACUUGGUGUUACUGCGAAGGGGGGACGGAGAAGGCUAUGUUGGCCGGGCGACGGUUGUCCCGGUUUAAGCGUGUAGGCUGGUUUUCCAGGCAAAUCCGGAAAAUCAAGGCUGAGGCGUGAUGACGAGGCACUACGGUGCUGAAGCGACAAAUGCCCUGCUUCCAGGAAAAGCCUCUAAGCAUCAGGUAACAUCAAAUCGUACCCCAAACCGACACAGGUGGUCAGGUAGAGAAUACCAAGGCGCUUGAGAGAACUCGGGUGAAGGAACUAGGCAAAAUGGUGCCGUAACUUCGGGAGAAGGCACGCUGAUAUGUAGGUGAAGCGACUUGCUCGUGGAGCUGAAAUCAGUCGAAGAUACCAGCUGGCUGCAACUGUUUAUUAAAAACACAGCACUGUGCAAACACGAAAGUGGACGUAUACGGUGUGACGCCUGCCCGGUGCCGGAAGGUUAAUUGAUGGGGUUAGCGGUAACGCGAAGCUCUUGAUCGAAGCCCCGGUAAACGGCGGCCGUAACUAUAACGGUCCUAAGGUAGCGAAAUUCCUUGUCGGGUAAGUUCCGACCUGCACGAAUGGCGUAAUGAUGGCCAGGCUGUCUCCACCCGAGACUCAGUGAAAUUGAACUCGCUGUGAAGAUGCAGUGUACCCGCGGCAAGACGGAAAGACCCCGUGAACCUUUACUAUAGCUUGACACUGAACAUUGAGCCUUGAUGUGUAGGAUAGGUGGGAGGCUUUGAAGUGUGGACGCCAGUCUGCAUGGAGCCGACCUUGAAAUACCACCCUUUAAUGUUUGAUGUUCUAACGUGGGCCCCUUACCGGGGUUGCGGACAGUGUCUGGUGGGUAGUUUGACUGGGGCGGUCUCCUCCUAAAGAGUAACGGAGGAGCACGAAGGUUGGCUAAUCCUGGUCGGACAUCAGGAGGUUAGUGCAAUGGCAUAAGCCAGCUUGACUGCGAGCGUGACGGCGCGAGCAGGUGCGAAAGCAGGUCAUAGUGAUCCGGUGGUUCUGAAUGGAAGGGCCAUCGCUCAACGGAUAAAAGGUACUCCGGGGAUAACAGGCUGAUACCGCCCAAGAGUUCAUAUCGACGGCGGUGUUUGGCACCUCGAUGUCGGCUCAUCACAUCCUGGGGCUGAAGUAGGUCCCAAGGGUAUGGCUGUUCGCCAUUUAAAGUGGUACGCGAGCUGGGUUUAGAACGUCGUGAGACAGUUCGGUCCCUAUCUGCCGUGGGCGCUGGAGAACUGAGGGGGGCUGCUCCUAGUACGAGAGGACCGGAGUGGACGCAUCACUGGUGUUCGGGUUGUCAUGCCAAUGGCACUGCCCGGUAGCUAAAUGCGGAAGAGAUAAGUGCUGAAAGCAUCUAAGCACGAAACUUGCCCCGAGAUGAGUUCUCCCUGACUCCUUGAGAGUCCUGAAGGAACGUUGAAGACGACGACGUUGAUAGGCCGGGUGUGUAAGCGCAGCGAUGCGUUGAGCUAACCGGUACUAAUGAACCGUGAGGCUUAACCUU